AGAACGAACGCUGGCGGCAUGCCUAAUACAUGCAAGUCGAACGAACUCUUCGGAGUUAGUGGCGCACGGGCGCGUAACGCGUGGGAAUCUGCCCCUUGGUUCGGAAUAACAGUUGGAAACGACUGCUAAUACCGGAUGAUGACGAAAGUCCAAAGAUUUAUCGCCAAGGGAUGAGCCCGCGUAGGAUUAGCUAGUUGGUGAGGUAAAGGCUCACCAAGGCAACGAUCCUUAGCUGGUCUGAGAGGAUGAUCAGCCACACUGGGACUGAGACACGGCCCAGACUCCUACGGGAGGCAGCAGUAGGGAAUAUUGGACAAUGGGACG
rnacentral:rRNA from 1 species